rnacentral:rRNA from 1 species
AUACAGAGGGUGCGAGCGUUAAUCGGAAUUACUGGGCGUAAAGCGCGCGUAGGCGGCUUAUUAAGUCAGAUGUGAAAUCCCCGGGCUCAACCUGGGAACUGCAUCUGAUACUGGUAAGCUAGAGUUUUGGAGAGGGAAGUAGAAUUUCAGGUGUAGCGGUGAAAUGCAUAGAGAUCUGAGGGAAUACCAGUGGCGAAGGCGACUUCCUGGCCAAAAACUGACGCUGAGGUGCGAAAGCGUGGGUAGCAAACGGGAUUAGAAACCCCAGUAGUCC